CGGGAAGGCAUCCCGUGAAAGCCCCCGGCUCAACCGGGGAAUUGCGGGGUGAACCAUCGGUCUUGAGGCAGGUAGGGGUCAGCGGAACCAUCGGUGGAGCGGUGAAAUGCGUAGAGAUCGAUGGGAACGCCAAUGGCGAAGGCAGCUGACUGGGCCUGUCCUGACGCUCAGGCACGAAAGCGUGGGGAGCAAACAGGAUUAGAUACCCUGGUAGUCCACGCCGUAAACGAUGUGCACUAGAUCGCAGAGGUUCUCAUGCCCUUGCGGUCGAAGGAAAACCGUUAAGUGCACCGCCUGGGGAGUACGGUCGCAAGGCUAAAACUCAAAGGAAUUGACGGGGGCUCACACAAGCGGUGGAGCAUGUUGCUUAAUUCGAGGCAACGCGAAGAACCUUACCUGGGUUUGACAUGCACGGAUUAACUCUGUGAAAGCAGAGCCACGCCUUCGGGUGGAACGUGCACAGGUGCUGCAUGGCUGUCGUCAGCUCGUGCUGUGAAGUGUCGGGUUAAGUCCCUUAACGAGCGCAACCCCUAUCGCUAGUUGCCAGCGCGUCAUGGCGGGGGCUCUAGCGAGACUGCCGGUGUCAAACCGGAGGAAGGUGGGGAUGACGUCAAGUCCUCAUGGCCCUUACGUCCAGGGAUGCAAACGUGCUACAAUGGCGUGGACAGAGCGACGCGAUACCGCGAGGUGGAGCAAAUCGCAAAAACCACGCCCCAGUUCGGAUUGCAGGCUGCAACUCGCCUGCAUGAAGCCGGAAUCGCUAGUAAUCGGAGAUCAGCUACGCUCCGGUGAAUACGUUCCUGAGCCUUGUACACACCGCCCGUCACGUCAUGGAAGCCGGGAGUGCCCGAAG
rnacentral:rRNA from 1 species